rnacentral:rRNA from 1 species
UACCAUGCAGUCGAACGGUGAACACGGAGCUUGCUCUGUGGGAUCAGUGGCGAACGGGUGAGUAACACGUGAGCAACCUGCCCCUGACUCUGGGAUAAGCGCUGGAAACGGCGUCUAAUACUGGAUAUGUGACGUGACCGCAUGGUCUGCGUUUGGAAAGAUUUUUCGGUUGGGGAUGGGCUCGCGGCCUAUCAGCUUGUUGGUGAGGUAAUGGCUCACCAAGGCGUCGACGGGUAGCCGGCCUGAGAGGGUGACCGGCCACACUGGGACUGAGACACGGCCCAGACUCCUACGGGAGGCAGCAGUGGGGAAUAUUGCACAAUGGGCGAAAGCCUGAUGCAGCAACGCCGCGUGAGGGAUGACGGCCUUCGGGUUGUAAACCUCUUUUAGCAGGGAAGAAGCGAAAGUGACGGUACCUGCAGAAAAAGCGCCGGCUAACUACGUGCCAGCAGCCGCGGUAAUACGUAGGGCGCAAGCGUUAUCCGGAAUUAUUGGGCGUAAAGAGCUCGUAGGCGGUUUGUCGCGUCUGCUGUGAAAUCCCGAGGCUCAACCUCGGGCCUGCAGUGGGUACGGGCAGACUAGAGUGCGGUAGGGGAGAUUGGAAUUCCUGGUGUAGCGGUGGAAUGCGCAGAUAUCAGGAGGAACACCGAUGGCGAAGGCAGAUCUCUGGGCCGUAACUGACGCUGAGGAGCGAAAGGGUGGGGAGCAAACAGGCUUAGAUACCCUGGUAGUCCACCCCGUAAACGUUGGGAACUAGUUGUGGGGUCCAUUCCACGGAUUCCGUGACGCAGCUAACGCAUUAAGUUCCCCGCCUGGGGAGUACGGCCGCAAGGCUAAAACUCAAAGGAAUUGACGGGGACCCGCACAAGCGGCGGAGCAUGCGGAUUAAUUCGAUGCAACGCGAAGAACCUUACCAAGGCUUGACAUAUACGAGAACGGGCCAGAAAUGGUCAACUCUUUGGACACUCGUAAACAGGUGGUGCAUGGUUGUCGUCAGCUCGUGUCGUGAGAUGUUGGGUUAAGUCCCGCAACGAGCGCAACCCUCGUUCUAUGUUGCCAGCACGUAAUGGUGGGAACUCAUGGGAUACUGCCGGGGUCAACUCGGAGGAAGGUGGGGAUGACGUCAAUCAUCAUGCCCCUUAUGUCUUGGGCUUCACGCAUGCUACAAUGGCCGGUACAAAGGGCUGCAAUACCGUGGAGGUGGA